rnacentral:rRNA from 1 species
UACGAAGGGGGCUAGCGUUGUUCGGAAUCACUGGGCGUAAAGCGCACGCAGGCGGAUCGUUAAGUCAGGGGUGAAAUGCCGAGGCUCAACCUCGGAACUGCCUUUGAUACUGGCGAUCUUAGAGUCCGGGAGAGGUGAGUGGAACUCCGAGUGUAGAGGUGAAAUUCGUAGAUAUUCGCAAGAACACCAGUGGCGAAGGCGGCUCACUGGCCCGAUACUGACGCUGAGGCACGAAAGCGUGGGGAGCAAACAGG